rnacentral:rRNA from 1 species
UGGGGAAUAUUGGACAAUGGGGGGAACCCUGAUCCAGCCAUGCCGCGUGUGUGAAGAAGGCCUUAUGGUUGUAAAGCACUUUAAGCGAGGAGGAGGGUACUGGUAUUAAUACUACCAGCUACUGGACGUUAUUCGCAGAAUAAGCACCGGCUAACUCUGUGCCAGCAGCCGCGGUAAUACAGAGGGUGCAAGCGUUAAUCGGAAUUACUGGGCGUAAAGCGCGCGUAGGUGGUUCGUUAAGUUGAAGGUGAAAGCCCCGGGCUCAACCUGGGAACUGCAUCCAAAACUGGCGAGCUAGAGUAGGGCAGAGGGUGGUGGAAUUUCCUGUGUAGCGGUGAAAUGCGUAGAUAUAGGAAGGAACACCAGUGGCGAAGGCGACCACCUGGGCUCAUACUGACACUGAGGUGCGAAAGCGUGGGGAGCAAACAGG